UACGGGGGGGGCAAGCGUUGUUCGGAAUUACUGGGCGUAAAGCGUGCGCAGGCGGUUCGUUAUGUCCGAUGUGAAAGCCCCUGGCUCAACUGGGGAAGUGCACCCGAAACUGAAUGGCUUGAAUGCAAAAGAGGGUCGCGGAAUUCCCGGUGUAGAGGUGAAAUUCGUAGAUAUCGGGAGGAACACCGGUGGCGAAGGCGGCGACCUGGGUUGACAUUGGACGCUGAGGCGCGAAAGCGUGGGGAGCAAACAGG
rnacentral:rRNA from 1 species